rnacentral:rRNA from 1 species
UCCGGUUGAUCCUGCCAGAGGUUACUGCUAUCGGUGUUCGACUAAGCCAUGCAAGUCAUAUGUUCCUCGUGAACAUGGCAUACUGCUCAGUAACACGUGGAUAACCUGCCCUUGGGUCUGGGAUAACCCCGGGAAACAGGGGAUAAUACCGGAUAACGCAUAUGUGCUGGAAUGCUUUAUGCGUAAAAUGGAUUCGUCCGCCCAAGGAUGGGUCUGCGGCCUAUCAGGUAGUAGUGGGUGUAAUGUACCUACUAGCCAACAACGGGUACGGGUUGUGAGAGCAAGAGCCCGGAGAUGGAUUCUGAGACAUGAAUCCAGGCCCUACGGGGCGCAGCAGGCGCGAAAACUUUACAAUGCGGGAAACCGUGAUAAGGGAACACCGAGUGCCAGCAUCAUAUGCUGGCUGUCCAGAUGUGUAAACUACAUCUGUUAGCAAGGGCCGGGCAAGACCGGUGCCAGCCGCCGCGGUAACACCGGCGGCCCGAGUGGUGACCGUUAUUAUUGGGUCUAAAGGGUCCGUAGCCGGUUUGGUCAGUCCUCCGGGAAAUCUGAUAGCUUAACUGUUAGGCUUUCGGGGGAUACUGCCAGGCUUGGAACCGGGAGAGGUAAGAGGUACUACAGGGGGUAGGAGUGAAAUCUUGUAAUCCCUGUGAGACCACCUGUGGCGAAGGCGUCUUACCAGAACGGGUUCGACGGUGAGGGACGAAAGCUGGGGGCACGAACCGGAUUAGAUACCCGGGUAGUCCCAGCCGUAAACUAUGCUCGCUAGGUGUCAGGCAUGGCGCGACCGUGUCUGGUGCCGCAGGGAAGCCGUGAAGCGAGCCACCUGGGAAGUACGGCCGCAAGGCUGAAACUUAAAGGAAUUGGCGGGGGAGCACAACAACGGGUGGAGCCUGCGGUUUAAUUGGACUCAACGCCGGACAACUCACCGGGGACGACAGCAAUAUGUAGGCCAGGCUGAAGACCUUGCCUGAAUCGCUGAGAGGAGGUGCAUGGCCGUCGCCAGUUCGUACUGUGAAGCAUCCUGUUAAGUCAGGUAACGAGCGAGAC